rnacentral:rRNA from 1 species
CAGUCGCCGCGGUAAUACGGAGGGUACAAGCGUUAUCCGGAUUUAUUGGGUUUAAAGGGUCCGUAGGCGGAUCUGUAAGUCAGUGGUGAAAUCUCACAGCUUAACUGUGAAACUGCCAUUGAUACUGCAGGUCUUGAGUAAAUUUGAAGUGGCUGGAAUAAGUAGUGUAGCGGUGAAAUGCAUAGAUAUUACUUAGAACACCAAUUGCGAAGGCAGGUCACUAAGAUUUAACUGACGCUGAUGGACGAAAGCGUGGGGAGCGAACAGGAUUAGAUACCCCCGUAGUCCCUGUCUCUUAUAC